rnacentral:tRNA from 1 species
GGCUGGGGCUCAGCGGUAGAGCACUUGCCUGGCAUGUGUGAGGCACUGGGUUCGAUUCUCAGCACCA